CAAAAAUGAUAUUGCCUUGGGGGAUUUUGGUGGAUAUGGAGAGAAGGGAUUGCAGGGAUAUUUUGUAAGCAGAGCUGACAGUGCUAGAGUAGGCAUUUAGUUAGGUUCUAACAGGAUAGCAGGAGCUCAGCAGCAAGGGAGUCAUGGCCAGCUAGAGUUACAUCAGAGGCCUGUCCUGGCAGCAGUCCACAGAAGCCAGAUCACAUAAAACAGGCCCAAGAUGGAGGUGCCAUGACAGGAACCCCUGACCAAAUUAGAAACCAAAAGCACCAAACGGUGCUUCCCAGCCCCAAGUAAUAAUAGUCAGCCCCUAGUUAACAACUGAUGAUAAAAGAUGGAAACCUGGACCCAAGGGAGGCCACUCACUCUCUCUCUCUGUCUCUCUCUGUCUGUCUGCCUCUCUCUCUGUCUGUCUCUCUGUCUCUGUCUGUCUCUCUGUCUCUGUCUCUCUGUCUGUCUCUCUGUCUCACUCUCUCUCUGUCUCUCUGUCUAUCUCUCUGUCUAUCUCUCUGUCUCUCUGCCUCUCUCUGUCUCUCUGUCUCUCUCUGUCUGUUUCUCUCUGUCUCUCUGUCUCUGUCUGUCUAUCUGUCUGUCUCUCUGUCUCUCUCUCUGUCUCUCUGUCUCACUCUCUCUCUGUCUCUCUGUCUCUCUGUCUGUCUCUCUGUCUCUCUGUCUGUCUCUCUGUCUCUGUCUGUCUCUCUCUCUGUCUGUCUCUCUGUCUCUGUCUCUCUGUCUCACUCUCUCUCUGUCUCUCUGUCUCUCUGCCUCUGUCUGUCUCUCUGUCUCUCUCUCUGUCUCUCUGUCUCUCUCUGUCUGUCUCUCUGUCUCUCUCUGUGUCUCUCUUUCUGUCUCUCUCUCUCUCUGUCUCUCUCUCUGUCUGUCUGUCUCUCUGUCUCACUCUCUCUCUGUCUCUCUGUCUAUCUCUCUGACUGUCUCUCUGUCUCUCUCUCUGUCUCUCUGUCUCACUCUCUCUCUGUCUCUCUGUCUGUCUCUCUGUCUCUCUCUGUCUCUCUGUCUCUCUCUGUCUGUCUCUCUGUCUCUCUCUCUGUCUCUCUGUCUCUCUCUCUGUCUCUCUGUCUCUCUCUCUGUCUGUCUCUCUGUCUCUCUCUCUGUCUGUCUCUUUUUCUCAAUUGCCUGCCCUCACAUCUUGAGAGUGUUCUUUUCACUUUAAUAAACUUUACCACAUUUUGCAUGUCUGUCCAUGAAUUCUUUCUUGGGACGAGACCAAGAACUUUUGGCAAUUCCUACAGGGUGGUUUGGGUCACGACCUCAGGGCCUGGGGUCUCCCCAAUUUACCCAGCAGCAUGGGACUUACUGAUAAAUGUCUUUAGAGGUGAUUCCUAUGGGAUUAAAAAU
rnacentral:lncRNA from 1 species